rnacentral:rRNA from 1 species
GAAGGGUGCAAGCGUUACUCGGAAUUACUGGGCGUAAAGCGUGAGUAGGUGGUUUCUUAAGUCUGCUGUGAAAGCCCCGGGCUCAACCUGGGAAUUGCAGUGGAUACUGGGAAGCUAGAGUGCGGUAGAGGGUAGUGGAAUUCCCGGUGUAGCGGUGAAAUGCGUAGAGAUCGGGAGGAACACCAGUGGCGAAGGCGGCUACCUGGGCCAGCACUGACACUGAGUCACGAAAGCGUGGGGAGCAAACAGGGAUUAGAUACCCUGGUAGUCCACGCCCUAAACGAUGCGAACUGGAUGUUGGGUGCAACUUGGCACUCAGUAUCGAAGCUAACGCGUUAAGUUCGCCGCCCUGGGAGUACGGUCGCAAGACUG